UACGUAGGGUGCAAGCGUUGUCCGGAAUUAUUGGGCGUAAAGAGCUCGUAGGCGGUUUGUCGAGUCUGCUGUGAAAACCCGAGGCUCAACCCCGGGCCUGCAGUGGGUACGGGCAGACUAGAGUGCGGUAGGGGAGAUUGGAAUUCCUGGUGUAGCGGUGGAAUGCGCAGAUAUCGGGAGGAACACCGGUGGCGAAGGCGGCGACCUGGGGGGAUACUGACGCUGAGGUGCGAAAGCGUGGGGAGCAAACAGG
rnacentral:rRNA from 1 species